rnacentral:lncRNA from 1 species
AAAUAAAUUAUAUUUAUGUUAAUUUAUUAAAUAAUACAAUUAACAUCUAAUUAAAUUAAAUCUUAUUUAAUUUAAUCAUUUGUUCCAUUGUCAGUACUUUAUGCGUGUGACCUUGUAGGUUCUCGUUACAUUGAAAAUAAUAUUAAAUCAUAUAUUUAAUAUUAUAACUAGUGAACAAUAUCUAGCAACAUAUCACUGCUACUCAAGUAACAAGAAUGUCAUGUGAUCUAACAUAACAUUUCUAUGAUAAUGAUCAUGUAUGCAAUAAUCUUUUUGCCCUUAUAUCUAUACUGAACACGAGGCAUAAAAUAUGUCACUCUUAUACAGUCUAAUAUCUCAUUUUGACUUAUUUGAGCAUGAUCAUACAUUUUACAGUCAUACUCGAUCAAGGGCCCCGUAGAUAUUACAUCCGUAUAUGUAGGAGGUGAAAAUCCCAUCUAGGUCACUCAUAUCCCUCAACAUGAUUUAUAGAGUACCCAUCAAACAUCGUUAUGGUCAUUCUAUUACAUACAAUAUUUGAUUGAAAAUAAAGUACUCAACUUCAUAUCUAGGAUCCAUAAUGGUUUCAGGUCAAAAGGUGAUAUACACCACUAUCACUAUGAGAAUAACUUAUAAUACUUACAUAACAAACUAUGUAGUAUUAUCAUGGUGGUUAAUCAAGUAUAAAUAUUACUCGUAAUAUUUAUACCUAUGUAAAGACUUGAUAUCUUAUAUCCAUGACCCGUGAGAUGUGAUCAUCAUUCUACUCACAUAAUAGUCAAUAUGCAUCACUGUUGUCCAAUGUGACAUUGAAGCUUGACUACUGAUACUUUAAGAAUAAUAUCCUUAUGGUUAAUGAUGUCUCACGAUUAAAUCACACUUAAUGAGUCAUUAAACAAACUAAUUAUUCUAAGGAAAUCAUUAUGUCGUAUACACAUAACAUAGUAAAUAUAAUGUCUGACUAUAAGUAUAUAUUAACAAAUAACAUAAAUCAAAGUCAUGAUACAAAAGAAAAUACAACCAAUACUUAUUGGAUAUUAGGGCUUACUCCAACACAUAUUUUGGUUUGAACAUAAUGUAGAUGAUAGUUUUAGUAAGACGUUUGAAACCUAUUUUGACAAUGAUAGUCAAGGAAGUAAUGGUGAAGUUAGAGAAAAUAGGUUUGAUGACAGUGUAGAAGAGAGAAUGCAAAAAUAAAUGAAUGAUUUAUGGUAGUUGAAGUGGAUAUAUCAGGGGAAGGUAUGAGGGUUGAUAUAAAUGGAAAAUAAC